UUUCCGUAGGUGAACCUGCGGAAGGAUCAUUAUUGAAUGAACUUGGUAGUGGUUGUAGCUGGCUCUCUCGAGAGCAUGUGCACACCCGCCAUCUUUAUCUUUCCACCUGUGCACUUCUUGUAGACUUUGGGAUUUGAAACCUUAUCCGGGGCAACCCGGUCGGGAGGAGCUGCUGUAGCAAUACGGCUCUCCUUGACAAGUCUUCGAAGUCUAUGUUUUUCAUAUACCCCAUAGUAUGUAACAGAAUGUAUACAAAUGAGCCUUAGUGCUUAUAAAACUUAUACAACUUUCAACAACGGAUCUCUUGGCUCUC
rnacentral:misc_RNA from 1 species